rnacentral:rRNA from 1 species
UGCCCAAGAGAUCGGGAUAACACCUGGAAACAGAUGCUAAUACCGGAUAACAACAGAUGAUGCCUAUCAACUGUUUAAAAGAUGGUUCUGCUAUCACUCUUGGAUGGACCUGCGGUGCAUUAGCUAGUUGGUAGGGUAACGGCCUACCAAGGCGAUGAUGCAUAGCCGAGUUGAGAGACUGAUCGGCCACAUUGGGACUGAGACACGGCCCAAACUCCUACGGGAGGCAGCAGCC